GAUGAACGCUGGCGGCGUGCCUAAUACAUGCAAGUCGAGCGAACGGACGAGAAGCUUGCUUCUCUGAUGUUAGCGGCGGACGGGUGAGUAACACGUGGAUAACCUACCUAUAAGACUGGGAUAACUUCGGGAAACCGGAGCUAAUACCGGAUAAUAUUUUGAACCGCAUGGUUCAAAAGUGAAAGACGGUCUUGCUGUCACUUAUAGAUGGAUCCGCGCUGCAUUAGCUAGUUGGUAAGGUAACGGCUUACCAAGGCAACGAUGCAUAGCCGACCUGAGAGGGUGAUCGGCCACACUGGAACUGAGACACGGUCCAGACGCCUACGGGAGGCAGCAGUAGGGAAUCGUCCGCAAUGGGCGAAAGCCUGACGGAGCAACGCCGCGUGAGUGAUGAAGGUCUUCGGAUCGUAAAACUCUGUUAUGAGGGAAGAACAUAUGUGUAAGUAACUGUGCACAUCUUGACGGUACCUAAUCAGAAAGCCACGGCUAACUACGUG
rnacentral:rRNA from 1 species